rnacentral:rRNA from 1 species
CCGGCGCACGGGUGAGUAACACGUAUCCAACCUGCCGUCUACUCUUGGCCAGCCUUCUGAAAGGAAGAUUAAUCCAGGAUGGGAUCAUGAGUUCACAUGUCCGCAUGAUUAAAGGUAUUUUCCGGUAGACGAUGGGGAUGCGUUCCAUUAGAUAGUAGGCGGGGUAACGGCCCACCUAGUCAACGAUGGAUAGGGGUUCUGAGAGGAAGGUCCCCCACAUUGGAACUGAGACACGGUCCAA